rnacentral:rRNA from 1 species
GGUAACACUGAAUGGAGGACCGAACCGACUUACGUUGAAAAGUGAGCGGAUGAACUGAGGGUAGCGGAGAAAUUCCAAUCGAACCUGGAGAUAGCUGGUUCUCUCCGAAAUAGCUUUAGGGCUAGCCUCAAGUGAUGAUUAUUGGAGGUAGAGCACUGUUUGGACGAGGGGCCCCUCUCGGGUUACCGAAUUCAGACAAACUCCGAAUGCCAAUUAAUUUAACUUGGGAGUCAGAACAUGGGUGAUAAGGUCCGUGUUCGAAAGGGAAACAGCCCAGACCACCAGCUAAGGUCCCAAAAUAUAUGUUAAGUGGAAAAGGAUGUGGCGUUGCCCAGACAACUAGGAUGUUGGCUUAGAAGCAGCCAUCAUUUAAAGAGUGCGUAAUAGCUCACUAGUCGAGUGACACUGCGCCGAAAAUGUACCGGGGCUAAACAUAUUACCGAAGCUGUGGAUUGUCCUUUGGACAAUGGUAGGAGAGCGUUCUAAGGGCGUUGAAGCAUGAUCGUAAGGACAUGUGGAGCGCUUAGAAGUGAGAAUGCCGGUGUGAGUAGCGAAAGACGGGUGAGAAUCCCGUCCACCGAUUGACUAAGGUUUCCAGAGGAAGGCUCGUCCGCUCUGGGUUAGUCGGGUCCUAAGCUGAGGCCGACAGGCGUAGGCGAUGGAUAACAGGUUGAUAUUCCUGUACCACCUAUAAUCGUUUUAAUCGAUGGGGGGACGCAGUAGGAUAGGCGAAGCGUGCGAUUGGAUUGCACGUCUAAGCAGUAAGGCUGAGUAUUAGGCAAAUCCGGUACUCGUUAAGGCUGAGCUGUGAUGGGGAGAAGACAUUGUGUCUUCGAGUCGUUGAUUUCACACUGCCGAGAAAAGCCUCUAGAUAGAAAAUAGGUGCCCGUACCGCAAACCGACACAGGUAGUCAAGAUGAGAAUUCUAAGGUGAGCGAGCGAACUCUCGUUAAGGAACUCGGCAAAAUGACCCCGUAACUUCGGGAGAAGGGGUGCUCUUUAGGGUUAACGCCCAGAAGAGCCGCAGUGAAUAGGCCCAAGCGACUGUUUAUCAAAAACACAGGUCUCUGCUAAACCGUAAGGUGAUGUAUAGGGGCUGACGCCUGCCCGGUGCUGGAAGGUUAAGAGGAGUGGUUAGCUUCUGCGAAGCUACGAAUCGAAGCCCCAGUAAACGGCGGCCGUAACUAUAACGGUCCUAAGGUAGCGAAAUUCCUUGUCGGGUAAGUUCCGACCCGCACGAAAGGCGUAACGAUUUGGGCACUGUCUCAACGAGAGACUCGGUGAAAUCAUAGUACCUGUGAAGAUGCAGGUUACCCGCGACAGGACGGAAAGACCCCGUGGAGCUUUACUGUAGCCUGAUAUUGAAAUUCGGCACAGCUUGUACAGGAUAGGUAGGAGCCUUUGAAACGUGAGCGCUAGCUUACGUGGAGGCGCUGGUGGGAUACUACCCUAGCUGUGUUGGCUUUCUAACCCGCACCACUUAUCGUGGUGGGAGACAGUGUCAGGCGGGCAGUUUGACUGGGGCGGUCGCCUCCUAAAAGGUAACGGAGGCGCUCAAAGGUUCCCUCAGAAUGGUUGGAAAUCAUUCAUAGAGUGUAAAGGCAUAAGGGAGCUUGACUGCGAGACCUACAAGUCGAGCAGGGUCGAAAGACGGACUUAGUGAUCCGGUGGUUCCGCAUGGAAGGGCCAUCGCUCAACGGAUAAAAGCUACCCCGGGGAUAACAGGCUUAUCUCCCCCAAGAGUUCACAUCGACGGGGAGGUUUGGCACCUCGAUGUCGGCUCAUCGCAUCCUGGGGCUGUAGUCGGUCCCAAGGGUUGGGCUGUUCGCCCAUUAAAGCGGUACGCGAGCUGGGUUCAGAACGUCGUGAGACAGUUCGGUCCCUAUCCGUCGUGGGCGUAGGAAAUUUGAGAGGAGCUGUCCUUAGUACGAGAGGACCGGGAUGGACAUACCUCUGGUGUACCAGUUGUCGUGCCAACGGCAUAGCUGGGUAGCUAUGUGUGGACGGGAUAAGUGCUGAAAG